GACGAACGCUGGCGGCGUGCUUAACACAUGCAAGUCGAACGGAAAGGCCCUGCUUUUGUGGGGUGCUCGAGUGGCGAACGGGUGAGUAACACGUGAGUAACCUGCCCUUGACUUUGGGAUAACUUCAGGAAACUGGGGCUACUACCGGAUAGGAGCUCCUGCUGCAUGGUGGGGGUUGGAAAGUUUCGGCGGUUGGGGAUGGACUCGCGGCUUAUCAGCUUGUUGGUGGGGUAGUGGCUUACCGAGGCUUUGACGGGUAGCCGGCCUGAGAGGGUGACCGGCCACAUUGGGACUGAGAUACGGCCCAGAGGCCUACGGGAGGCAGCAGUGGGGAAUAUGGCACAAUGGGGGGAAGCCUGAUGCAGAAACGCCGCGGGCGGGAUGACGGCCUGCGGGGUGUAAACCGCUUUCGCCUGUGACGAAGCGUGAGUGACGGUAAUGGGUAAAGAAGCACCGGCUAACUACGUG
rnacentral:rRNA from 1 species